rnacentral:rRNA from 1 species
UACGUAGGGGGCUAGCGUUGUCCGGAUUUACUGGGCGUAAAGAGCGCGCAGGCGGUCGUUCAAGUCGCGUGUGAAAGCCCCCGGCUCAACUGGGGAGGGUCACGCGAUACUGAUCGACUCGAAGGCAGGAGAGGGUAGUGGAAUUCCCGGUGUAGUGGUGAAAUGCGUAGAUAUCGGGAGGAAUACCAGUGGCGCAAGCGGCGCCCUGGCCGUGACCUGACACUGAGCCACGACGGCGUGGGGAGCAAACGGG